rnacentral:rRNA from 1 species
UUCCUGGUGCGCAUGGCGUUGUGGACCCACUCUGAAUCCAUCCCGAACUCAGGUGUGAAACGCGACUGCGGCGACGAUACUCUGGGGGUUGCCCCACGGCACAAUAGCUCCGCGCCAGGUC